GUAACUUUGUAGGCACAUAUACUAAAAUCAGAACAAUGCAAAGAUUAGUACAGCCUCUGCCCCAAAAUGACACAAAUUCUUGAAGCAUUCCAUAUUUUC
rnacentral:snRNA from 1 species